AGAUUGAACGCUGGCGGCGUGCUUAACACAUGCAAGUCGAGCGGUAACGCGGGAGCAAUCCUGGCGACGAGCGGCGAACGGGUGAGUAAUGCUUGGGAAUCUGCCCAUUAGUGGGGAACAACCAGCCGAAAGGUUGGCUAAUACCGCAUACGCCCUACGGGGGAAAGCGGGGGAUCGAAAGACCUCGCGCUAAUGGAUGAGCCCAAGUCGGAUUAGCUUGUUGGUAGGGUAACGGCCUACCAAGGCGACAAUCCGUAGCUGGUCUGAGAGGACGACCAGCCACACUGGGACUGAGACACGGCCCAGACUCCUACGGGAGGCAGCAGUGGGGAAUAUUGGACAAUGGGGGCAACCCUGAUCCAGCGACGCCGCGUGUGUGAGAAGGCCUGCGGGUUGUAAAGCACUUUUAGUGGGGAUGAAAAGCUCAGGGUUAACACCUCUGGGUCUUGACCUAACCACAGAAAAGCACCGGCUAACUCUGCGCCAGCAGCCGCGU
rnacentral:rRNA from 1 species